ensembl:lncRNA
CUCCAUUUUCUCCUACUGCCUCCAGCUCUAAGCAGUUGGUAAUCUACUCUCUGUCUGUUGGUUUGAUGAUCCUGGACACUUCAAGCAUGGCAUGAUUCAACAACAAAUGGCCACCAACAGACAAUCAGAAACAAUGAGAAGCACAAGUAGAUCCCUGUGGGAGCUGAACAUGAAGGACUUUCUGAAAGCAGAUGAAGACACAAGCACAGAGUGAACGGAUGCUGAUUAACUUUAUAAAGUGCUAGAGGCUGAACCCAGGGCUCUGCUUGCUGGGAGAGGACUAUACCAGCUGCCACACCCUCAACUCUACUUAUCAUCUUUUACUUUAUUUUACUUUGUGCUAUAGAUUGAAUCCAGG